CAACCCUCGGUACGAGCAAAUUCGUAAAGAAAAAAAAAACAGGACCACACACGGCGCACGAAUUCGCCUCCUCUCCUCUCGCCCAUGCCUCGCCGCCGCCACCACCCACGCCGCACGCUUCCGGCGAGCUCCGGCGCUGCGCAGAACGCCCCCGAGCUCCCCACGGUCCGCGCCUUCCUCCCCUCCGGCUAGAUUCUCUGUUCCCAGCCUCUACCACCCGCUCGCAACCCCACCUCCGUGGCUAGGGUUUCGGACAUGGCUUCAACGGCACGUCUCCGGCGGCCCUAGGUUCGUCCCUCCUUCCUUUCGGUCAAGUCUGGGUGGAGGUGGGCGGCGACUUGGUUGUGGAGGGCUGAAGCCUGAAGGUGCUGGGGCUGACGAGCUCCUGCCACUGUAUGUGGAUUGAGCUGGAUGGGCACUGGGGUGAUUUGGGGAUCUGGCUGCUAAUGCUGCGAUAAAACGUCGUUACGAUUUUGAGUGAUCUAGGGCCGCUCAUUGUCUCUUGUGGUCGGCCCCGCAGCCACUAUUCUGAACGACCGUCACGGUUAUCCGCAACACACCCAUCUGCUGCACAUCUUUAUAUGUAUGUAACCUACAGAGAAUAGGAACAAUCACUACAGAGCCUGAAGAUUGUUUUUAUUUCUUUCAUUGUCUUUCACUGAUCUAUCAUUAUUUCAUUUGUCCAUGUAGAUUUAGAUAACAUGAGGUGAACUGAUGAUACGUGCUACUAUUUGAAGACACGAUUAUCUACUGCAGAAUUGUUGAUGUAUUUGUGCUGACAGGUUAUGCAGUACUUGAAACACUUUAAUUAGAGGAAUUAGAGUUACAAAGUUCUGACUCGGUUCAUGGGGCAAUCUGAAAGAGAACUUGGUGAUGUCAAGUAAUUCUAAGAGCAUAGGCAUUAUCCUUUUUUUAAAUAAUGGUAAGAGCAUAGAUCCCAUCGACCAGGAAUUAAUCCAUCAGGCAAGCAGAAGACUGAACGAAACAGUACCUUCAUAUAUUAUUUCCAAGACCAUUAAUGUUGUUUUCUUUACUGUAAGGAACCAGCUUAAGGCCUUUAUGCAUUGAACGAACUACCAAGAUUUUUCUAUCUUCAUGUAUGAUCCAUCUUGCAUAGACACAUGCGUAGCAAUGGGAUACUAUUUGGUAUGAACAACAUCAUUAUCUUGCAAUUCUAACAUGUAUGCAUUUAACUUAUUUACACACAUAAUAGUGAUGCAUCUUGCGUAUCUGCUUAUUGUAUCUGAAUCUUCAAUGCAAUUAACUGCUUAAUUAGACAGCAGCAGGAUUGAGCGAUCUGGCAUAUAAGCUUUGCUCAGUGGUUCAGAUUAUCACUUUUAGUCUUCUGGUCUUGUCAAGUUUUUAGACUUCUUGAGGUCGCUCAACCAAUCUGGCGUAAAGCUAUGAAGAGAUUUUGCUUGGAAAGAUUACUGAAAGGAUACCUUCACUUCAUUUUAUCCCCUAGAUUAGUAUAAGUAUAUAUUAAGCCCCCGUUUAUUUAGAUGUAUAGCUUGCAUGGCAGUCUUGUUUAAACAGAUUUUUGGGGCAUUAAGCAAUGCAUACUCUGCUCACCAUUUUUCUCAUGUGUGUUGUUAGCCAAGCACUUGCUUUUCAAGAUAUCCUUUCCGAUGUUAGGCUGGGCUGCGUGAUUCGUCGAUGUCUGCUCAAUACAGUUGUGGUGAUCCCGGUGACGAGGACAUUAGGGACAUCGGCCCGGCGGAGUCUGGUGAGUCAGCUAUGAAGCCAAAUCCGCAGUCACCAGGGACCAGGGUGGAUCGAGAGAGUUCUUGUGGGAGCGAAUCCUACAGAGCGAACCCUAUGCCCCGUUAGUAUGGGUACUCUUGAGAAGUCCAUAAGGGCUUUCACAGAGGCAUGUAGAAGAGGUCGUCAAGCCGGAGUUGGGCACCACAUUUGCCUCGCUGACAGAGGCAUACGUCUUUUACAACCUGUAUUAGUGGGAAAAUGGGUUUAGUAUCAGGCAUGGGAAGAGCCGAUUGAAUCCCGACAAGCGGAAGACCAUGCAAGAGACUGUUUGUGGUUGCUCAGUAUGUAUAUCAAUUAAAAAUUCAGUUCUCCUUCACAUUUGCGCUGGAUGGAGGGUCUGGUCUGAUGAUAAAACAUCUGUUGGAGCAGGGGGAGGCUUUGCGUGAGAAUACAAGGUUGUGCCGCUGUGAGUGUCCUGCGAUGAUAAGGCUGCUACGGACAUCAGAUAAUGGGUGGUAUACAAUGGAGCACCGGGUAAAGCAUAACAUUGUUAUGAUGCCAAUGUAGAGAGAUGUUGCACUGGCCAUCGCACACGCACAUUGAUGUGUACACGAGCGGGGUGCGGGACUGAUCUAAACAAGAGAAGCAAGAUUGGACAGAGGGGGCAAUGGGGCAGUGGGAAUCAUUCGUGGUUGCGUAUUACAGUGGCGGUGGGCUGGAUGACGAUUGCAGUAGGGAUAGCGCCCCGCGGAGUCCGAAGAGUCUGCACUGAAACCAAAUUCGAGAGCACACGGUAGACUAAGAGAGUUCAUUUAGCAAGAAAUGUGAUGUCUGAAGGGAUGCACAUGUCUCCUUGGUAAAAAAGAGAUCGCAAUUAACGCAAAUCCAAUGCAUCAAGCAGAAGGCUUUUUCCUGAAGGGAUUGAGAUUACCAGGAUUCAGAUUGGAUCCCUGCUGUGUCAGUGCAGGAGAACUUCUCGAACACGUAAAACGACGGUGGCAUCAGGAUCCAGGAGAGCAGCUUAGGGGUUCUCCGGGGCGGCGCCAUGGUUGCUCCCGCGACGAGGACGCGGCACUCCCCUUCUGGUGCGGCGCACGAGAGAAGGAGGAGGGGAUCGACCCAAGACUGGGGCUGAGGCCGGCAGCGCCGUCCACACGAGCCUCACCGGCGGUGCCCUCUACACCUUCUCGCUCACCCCCGUCACUUUCUCGCUCACCACCGGCGUAGUAGUCAUCCUCGACGCCGUAAGGCACAAAUGGGCAUCCCGGCGGGAGUAGUCAUCCUUGACGUCGUCAGCUCUGUACAAGGCACCAAUCGUAUCUUCGACGGCCACAAGUUCUCCUACUAUGCCUCCGUCGCCUCCGCCAGCAUUGUUUGGCUGGCAAGGUCACGUCACCAGGGACUCCAUAUUCAUCGCCAAAGAAUUCCGACUUCAGGAACAGAGUAGCAUAGCGGGGCUAGCAGCGACAAGUAGCAACAGCAGGGACGAGCUCAGGAGGAAAAUCAGACCUCCUUUUGUUGAAUACAGAGCAAGCUAGAGAACAUACAAAAAUACAAAGCAAAGCUUCACCGAAGUGCACGAAUUGUUUAAUAAGUACGGUUGCUGCAAUGAAUUAACGACCUAGGAGCUGUUUGGUUACAACGAGGUAAUUCAUUAUUCAGGUUUGUUCACAAUUAUUUAAUUUUCACUGUUUUGGAUCCUGUACUAUGCACAAUAUAAUUUGUAGAAUGUUUUAUCUUUGCAAAUAAGGGAAAUAAUGAUCCAAAAUUGGAGAAGAUGGUGAAAACCAAAUGUUUAUGUGAUUUGAUAUGAUGUACUUAGUAAUUAACUUUCCCUACCUACAUCUUUUAAAAGUGUCUAUAUCAUGUUUUCGUCAGCUCCGGCAUCUUCAAGAGCUUUGUCAUGCCCUAUUAUUUUCAAUUUAGUCUGUGUCCGCAUCAACUGAAUUCGGUCGGUUCAAUUCAAUUCAUCAAUUUUUUGUAUAUUUGAUGCAUUAUUAACCAUAGCAACGCACGGGCAUUUAUUUGUGGGACUUGAUGCCGGAUAUAGACAAAUUGCAUGUUUUCUUAGGGCAUCUGCAAUUGAUGGACGCCAGGAUUUAUUUCCCGAUAGACCGGCAGUUGCGUUAGUUGUUCCCAGUGUGCCCGGUACCAAUAGAUGCAUUGAGCGCUUUCUCUUUUCCUGGGCACGCGAGUAAAGAAACGGGUAGCCGGGCCUACGUAUUUAGAGCUGCUGAUAAGCGCCUAGCAUUGAAUGAGAAGGCGCUUACUUUUUUCUUAAUUUUUUGAUGUUUAACUUUUUACUCUUAAGUGCCUACACAAGAGUCUAGCAUUGCAGAUGUCCUUAAGCUAUAGGCUAUCGUAGUGGUUUUACCAAUCACAAAUAAGCGACCAAUGAUGAAACAAUAGUACAAAUUUAGAGCACAAUACAUCAUGAUCUAUUG